CAGACAAUGAUAAUAAGAAUUCAAUCGAAAAAAAACGUGAUAAACAAAAUGACUAUACAACUUCAAAUAUCAAAUAAGAGUUAAAGAAACCAGACAACAGGAGAUCAAUGAGACAAGAUGACAUGCGACGAAACGCGACGUCGAGAGGAAGCUACGGAAGGACGCAGAUACAGCAGUAAUAACUUUCUAACCUGUACUCCUUCUUGUCGUUUUCCGACUUCACGGGUGUCUCCAAAUACUCUACUCGACGACGGUCAUCGUCGCUGGCCGCACGCUCCGUUUCCACCAUCUCGACGCGCGAAGGAUUGAGAAGAAGACCACGUGUCAUCCGAACGCCUUUGACAGCGUUCGGAAAACAUGACGGUGCGGAACGACCGAUCGAUGGUAGGUAGAUCUGAUUGGUGGGUCCGAAAGGAUGAGCGGGCAAUUGUAUUUUCCAGUCUUUUUAGACAACUGAGAUGUAUAAUGCUUAAUUAGAAAAAUAUAGAAUAUAUAUUUCGUCCA